AGCCGCCAAAGGUACAAGGAAGAGGAAACAAAGACAGGUAAAUCCAACACACAGCUUAUAAUAGAGUUCGAUUAAAUAGUCAAAAUACACUUCAAAUUGUAAAUUUUUUAACGUACCAAAAACGAUUUCGAACAAAAUGUUGAAGUAUCAAGUUUGAAAUUCAAUACCUGUAUCAGCGAGCAAACUGAAAGCAGCAUCUUUGUCAUGAAAAUUUAUAAACUUCACAAAGAAGAAUAUACCAAUUUAAGUUAGAAUUUUCCUUACAAAAUUACAAAUAAAAGGUAUAAACUUCAAAAAUCUUCUCCACUUUUUGCAUAAUAGAAGUUUUCUCAGUUAAGUAAUUUUCAGAGAAAUACGUUAACACAGCACAUUUCUUAUUGGUUAACUUUUAACAGAACGCUGUAAAGAAACAUACUAUCCUUUUUCUCGUCUAGUAAUCCUUUUCUUUAUCCACGCACCGAUUGAGAAGGUAGUUGCUAUUGUGAAAACAAUUCUAACACCAAAUAAGCAAAUGCGACAAAUUCUAAUUAAAUUGGUGUCCGUUUUCAAUUCAAGAUAUAUGUCCUUAUAUGUAGCAUAAUGUAGAGAAUAGCAUGACAAAAGAAAUUCAAAUGAUUCAACAGAGCAUUGCAACAUUCUUUAAAUGUCGGCCGCAACUGCUCCUUCAGCCUUAGCUUCAACCUCUGUUUCUUCGGGUUCUUCUUGGGAUUCAGCUUCAGCUCUAACAACAAAAGAACGACUUUCCCACUUUGAACAGCACAACCCAGAAGUUGAAAACAAAACAGGGAUACAUUCAACUGAGAAGGUCAUUGGAAAAUGCAGGUAGAAACUGCAAGUUUCUGUGGAAUAUACCUUGUGGGGGGAUGCCUGUAAAUACAAUUAUUAGAUAGUUGUUGGUAUAUAUGUUGUAAAAGAGCAGUCUUGGUUCGAUGAGAAGAAGAAACUUAGGAAGCAAAUUGGUCUUAUGAAUGAAUUGAGAGUUGUUGAGAAGCACAAGGACAACCUUAUAAUUGAAUUGAAUAGCAAGUUGGAGCAGAGUAAAGUAGUUGUUCAGUCAAAAGAUAACAAGGGAAAAUGCGUCAAGAUCUUGAAGAAAGGCUGAAAAAUGCGUCAAAAUCAUGUAAUUA
rnacentral:lncRNA from 1 species